rnacentral:lncRNA from 1 species
CUUGGGAAUAUUAUAAAUUAGUCAAAUAAAAUUUUACAUAAGUAAGUAACUCGAAAAAACUUGGAACACAUUUAAGAAAUAACAAUUAAAAACCUAGUCAAACGUCUACUAAUCUAUAGUGUAAUAAUGCUUGUUAACACAUAAAUGUAUAGUAGCCUUUUGUUCUGCCAUAAGUUAAGAGUUUAGUUAAAAGUUGAUUUCAAUUUUAUACUAUUCCAUUUUCAAUCUAAGCAUGCCUUUUGAGUUUGUCAAUCUCUUCUUAUGCCUCUUGAAGUUGCCUUUUCAGCUUUGAAUUCUCCUUAUCCAUUGCUGAGAUUUCUUUGUCCUUUGCUGAUAUCUCCUUGUCCUUCUCUUUUGUGAUUUCUUCUACUUGUUUCUUUAUUCUCUUUAGUUCUUCCUAUUCUUCUGUAAAUUUAAAGUACAAAAAAGCUUAAAUUUUACUGUUUUUCAAAUUAUAAUUUUCUAGCCAAGUAAAGUGAUAAUGUGAGAAAUUAACUUCAAUAUCUUUUCAAUUCUAUCAAUUUCAAUUGUCAUUAUCAUAAACAUAGUAUUAAAAAACCUAAAUUAAAAUCUAUAAUUUCAAAAUCCAAUUGAAUUGAAGUUACCUUGUACUUGUCGCAGAUCUGUUCUAGUGCUUGAAUUUAGCUUUGUUUUGAACGAUUCAACUGCAUCAUAAUCACCUUUUGUGGGAAUUUCAACAAGCACAGCAUAUGGAUCAUCCUUUUCUCCCCAUGGCAGCUCCACAUUGAAGUCAAAGUUUGCAUCUUUCUGCUGUUCAUUUUGGAGAUUUUCUUCUAGCACUUGUGCCAUUAAAGGAUCUUCUUCAAUAGGAUCCAUUUUCUGAUUUGUUUUUUGUUUUUUUUUUUUAAAUUGGAGGUAAAAUUUUGGACUUGAUCAAUUCCCGCUACUGUUCAUAAUUCAAAUGUGGAUGCUAUUUAUAGAUUUAUUUAUUUAUCCCAUUCAGUUUCUUUUUUACGUGUCAUUGUAUUUGUCCAAUGGGGUAGGUCUUUUAUGGUUUUUAUGGUUCUAAUUUUACCACGUAUGCUAAAGGUUUGAAGUUCUGGUUUUUAUUUGUUCUUCCGUGUUAUGUAAUUUGUAAUGUUUAA